CUAAGCGCAUACGGUGGAUGCCUUGGCAGUCAGAGGCGAUGAAAGACGUGGUAGCCUGCGAAAAGCUUCGGGGAGUCGGCAAACAGACUUUGAUCCGGAGAUGUCUGAAUGGGGGAACCCAGCCAUCAUAAGAUGGUUACCUUACACUGAAUACAUAGGUGUAUGGAGCGAACCAGGGGAACUGAAACAUCUAAGUACCCUGAGGAAAAGAAAUCAACCGAGAUUCCCUUAGUAGUGGCGAGCGAACGGGGACUAGCCCUUAAGUGGCUUUGAGAUUAGCGGAACGCUCUGGAAAGUGCGGCCAUAGUGGGUGAUAGCCCUGUACGCGAAAAUCUCUUAGUCAUGAAAUCGAGUAGGACGGAGCACGAGAAACUUUGUCUGAAUAUGGGGGGACCAUCCUCCAAGGCUAAAUACUACUGACUGACCG
rnacentral:rRNA from 1 species